ACUUACGGUUAGAAUUAGAAUACUUAUGCUUACUUUAGGUAUUUUUUUUUUAACAAUAAUAUUUGAAAACGUCUCCAAUUACCUCAAUUUAUUUUGGAUCAGAUUUCUCGAAGUUAUAGCCUAACCUAACUUUUAAUUUUAACAAUUUAAUUUUCAUUCACGAUAAUGUCUUCAAGAAGAAGCAAAACGUUAGAUUCGAAGCGAGCGAUUUGUUAGAUAACAUUUAUUUAUUUAUCGUGUUUGAUAGAACUGGCAUCGAGCCAAUUCAACGUCACAUAAACGUGCAUUUAUUACUCUACCAAUGUGACUCGGUUUGUCAAUUGAGAAGGUUCUAUUGUUCGAAAAAGGGAUGAUCGCUACUCUUCCACGUUUUUAAAACCCAUUAUAUGACGAGAACUUACACAUUUUAAUGAUAAAUGUCUGGCUAGUUAGCGCGUGUUUAUAAAUUUCUCGCUUAUUUAUAAUAUCCGAUUGCCAUAUGUGAAAUUUUUCUACGUGGGUAAUUCACUAAAUGAUUAUAAACAAAUACCUCUUUGACAGUAUCAAAAUUACUUCAGACUGAACUGUGUGUUUCGUCGAUAUAAGUCAUUGUACGUUCGUUACUCUUCUGUUGCCAAUUUACAGUUUCUAUAUCUAUAUGAAGAAAUUUUAUGGAGAACCACAGGAAUGUAAAUGGUACGACUUCCGGUGAAUAUUCUGAGAAUAACACGUUUAAACAUCCUGGUUUAAACAAAGCUUCGUUUUCGCCAACCAAUGUCUUGUACCACAUAUCACGUAGGACAAGAAAACAGUAAAGCAGCAAGGAUGACUCUUCCAUCCUUUCGACCCAUUCAACCAGGAUUCAAAGGUAAACAGUCGCGCAAAAAACUGAAAAAAAUCGUAGAGAAAUACAGAGAAAAUCUGCCACCAACGGAAACAGAAUUCGAAGAAGAUCAAUCGGAAGAAUUGGAUAUUCUUUACGAAAUGAUCAGGAAAGACUUUGAAACAAAAAGAUUUUUCGAAAUUCGAGGAUUCUGCUGCCACUGCGGCAAGAAAUUCGGAGGAGAAUACGACGUUUAUUUACACGCUAACAAGACAGUUUGCAGUAUAUGGAACUGUGUUAAAUAUAAGUUUACUCUGGGUAGGACAAAAGUAAAGAUUUGGGCCGCUUUUCUUUACGAUUCGUUUUGUCAUGGGUGCGAGAAAGAAUUCGACGGUUGGGCGGAAUUAGAGAAACACAAAGCUAAAACCGAAUGCGGACAAAAGUUUCCAGAACUGAUUAUGAAUCGCCAAUUACAUCUCGUUAUUUUUGUGAAGAAAGACACCUAUUUUUCUUACUAUAAAUUGCGUUUUAUGAAGACAUUUCGCUUAUAAUCGGCAUCAGUUUUGAAGAAACUUUAAUAUAUUAACGAUAUUAAAUAUAUAAUUUUCUUUAAAUGAAAUAACCAAGAUUGCCAAAAUUGUAAUGAAGUAUUUAAAUUACUUUAAUAAAAAUUUAAAUAUCGGAUAUUUUAAUAAAUACUUUUUGUAUAAAAUAUUCUAUGGGAGAGAGAAUGUUCGACUGGAAGAAAUCAAAUCGCUUUCCUAACAGUUUUAAAUUGCUUUUAUGCUUAUAUCUUUGAUAUAAAAGUUUUAUAUACGUGACUAAUUCAAAUUUAUUUACAGCAAAUCACUUUUUGUCAGGUCUACUCGAGAUGAGGAUGUAUUGUAAUGCGAUCUGCGCUGUUUGCUCUCGUAUAUUUUACCAUACAGAGCUCUCAACCUGUGAUUUUGAAAAGAGCAAUAUCGCUCUUUUCAAAAUCACAGUUGAGAGCUCUGAUAUUUGCCCCAAAAAGCUGAGAGCCAACAUUUUUUUUUUAAUAUAGUGAUUUUGAUCAUUUUGAUGGAAUUCUCUAGUGCAAAGUGUACAGAAAUGAUAAAAUAAAUUGUUAAAUAUGAUACAAUAUUAUUUUAUCACAUCAGUUUUAUACUUUUGAUCAUUUUGCACUCGUUAUAUAACACUUUACUGUAGAACAGCGAUUCCCCUAAAUAUAGAAUUGAGAUCUCAAGUGGAAUCACCAAUUCCUUUAGGUGGCUUGAGUAAACACUUUUUCAUAAACAUUAUUUCUCUGCUUAAAAAACUUCAAAAG